rnacentral:rRNA from 1 species
UACGUAGGGUGCAAGCGUUGUCCGGAAUUAUUGGGCGUAAAGAGCUCGUAGGCGGUCUGUUGCGUCGGCUGUGAAAACCCGAGGCUCAACCUCGGGCCUGCAGCCGAUACGGGCAGACUAGAGUUCGGCAGGGGAGACUUGAAUUCCUGGUGUAGCGGUGAAAUGCGCAGAUAUCAGGAGGAACACCGGUGGCGAAGGCGGGUCUCUGGGCCGAUACUGACGCUGAGGAGCGAAAGCGUGGGGAGCGAACAGG